rnacentral:rRNA from 1 species
AACGAACGCUGGCGGUAUGCUUAACACAUGCAAGUCGAACGGGUGUAGCAAUACAUCAGUGGCAAACGGGUGAGUAAUGUAGAGGAAUCUCCCUAACAGUACGGAAUAACUCUGGGAAACCAGUGCUAAUACCGUAUAUUCCCUUCGGGGGAAAGAUUUAUCGCUGUUAGAUGAGCCUCUAUCGGAUUAGCUAGUUGGCGGGGUAGAGUCCCACCAAGGCGAUGAUCCGUAGCUGGUCUGAGAGGAUGAUCAGCCACACUGGAACUGAGACACGGUACAGACUCGUGUGGGAGGCAGCAGUGGGGAAUAUUGGACAAUGGGCGCAAGCCUGAUCCAGCAAUACCGCGUGAGUGAUGAAGGUCUUCGGAUUGUAAAGCUCUUUUAGUGGGGAAGAUAAUGACGGUACCCAAAGAAAAAGCACCGGCAAACUUCGUGCCAGCCGCCGCGGUAAUAC